UCCAGACUCCUACGGGAGGCAGCAGUGGGGAAUAUUGCGCAAUGGGGGGAACCCUGAUGCAGCAACGCCGCGUGGGUGAAGAAGUAUUUCGGUAUGUAAAGCCCUAUCAGCAGGGAAGAAGAUGACGGUACCUGACUAAGAAGCCCCGGCUAAAUACGUGCCAGCAGCCGCGGUAAUACGUAUGGGGCAAGCGUUAUCCGGAUUUACUGGGUGUAAAGGGAGCGUAGACGGCUGUGCAAGCCAGAUGUGAAAGGCCGGGGCUCAACCCCGGGACUGCAUUUGGAACUGUGUAGCUGGAGUGUCGGAGAGGCAGGCGGAAUUCCUAGUGUAGCGGUGAAAUGCGUGAAUAUUAGGAGGAACACCAGUGGCGAAGGCGGCCUGCUGGACGAUGACUGACGUCGAGGCUCGAAAGCGUGGGGAGCAAACAGGAUUAGAUACCCCGGUAUC
rnacentral:rRNA from 1 species